GACAGAGGGUGCAAACGUUGUUCGGAAUUACUGGGCGUAAAGCGAGUGUAGGCGGUUCGAUAAGUCGGAUGUGAAAGCCCCGGGCUCAACCCGGGAAGUGCACUCGAUACUGUCGAGCUAGAGUAUCGGAGAGGUUGGUGGAAUUCUCGGUGUAGAGGUGAAAUUCGUAGAUAUCAAGAGGAACACCUGAGGUGAAGACGGGUUGCUGGGCCAACACUGACGCUGAGGCGCGAAAGCCAGGGGAGCAAACGGG
rnacentral:rRNA from 1 species